rnacentral:rRNA from 1 species
AAACCUUUUGUAAUUGCAGUCAGCGUCAGAAAAACAUAAUAAUUACAACUUUCAACAACGGAUCUCUUGGUUCUGGCAUCGAUGAAGAACGCAGCGAAAUGCGAUAAGUAGUGUGAAUUGCAGAAUUCAGUGAAUCAUCGAAUCUUUGAACGCACAUUGCGCCCCUUGGUAUUCCAUGGGGCAUGCCUGUUCGAGCGUCAU